rnacentral:misc_RNA from 1 species
AAGACUAUAGACCUGCGGAGUACCUGCGGUAGGAUCAUUAACGUAUCUAUGAUGGGGUGCGGAGCGCCCUGCUCCGGUCGAACGGCCGUGCAGCGGGUGCGCCGCCCCCGUCCCACCUCACAAACCCACUGUGAACAUUCACCGGUGGAGGGGGCUCGGUCUGCGCCGUGUCCCCGAUGCCGAAUACCCAAACUCCAGUUGCAAAGAACGUCGUGCGGACUCGGUGCCGCCUAAAACAUG